rnacentral:lncRNA from 1 species
CUACACAACAGCCCGAGUGGAUUUUGCUUUUUCCACCUGCCCACCGUUGCCCACUCUAGCUAUAAUCUCUUUUUUUGUAAAAAUAUUGAUUACAAAUGCUUAUCUGCUUUUUUCAAAGUGAUUGUACUUGCAAGUCUUUAGAUUAAACAAAAGAAAUUGCAUGCCCACUCCUAUGGGUGGGCAGAGUGGACAAGGUAGAAAUUUUGUCCACCCGGUGCCCACUCCCAUGGUGGACCGGUGGACAAAGCAAAAUCCACCCGAGCUGUAGUGUAU